AAAAGAAGAAGACAAAAGAUAAUUUUAGUCACGAUCCAUCUGAUGAAAUUAUACUCAUCUUCCUACUUUACUGGUCUUCUCCUCAUCCAAAUUCACGCUCUCUCUCUCUCUCUCCCUCUCUAUCUCUCUCAAACCCUAAUUUCUCAAAGCUAUCUCUCUCGCUCCCAGACGCUCUCUCUUCAACACCGUUUUCCUCAACCCUCAGGUGGAAACCCUAACCUACCCGAUCUAAGCGGAUUCUUCGUCUGAGAGCACAAUCACGGCGAUGGCGCUGGUUAGUUUCAGCCGGUGAGAUGCUGCCGAUGCUGCGCGAGUGCGAUCUCUGUUUCAGGCUGCUUCACGCUCACUUGAACUUCAACAGCCUUGGUGAAAGUAGUUUGGUUUCGGUGUGUGCUUUCGCCGGAGAAGAUCCUCGGCCAUUAUGAUCCUUGGAAGAAACCCCCACCACGCUG